GCUCCCAGCCUCCUCCGUGGUUCCGCGGGCCCCCACAGCGGGAACCGAGCCCCAGCGCCGCUUCCUUCCACCCCUCGGAGGCUCGGUCUGCGGCUGCGCAGAGCGCCCUGCGUGGGGAGGGUUACGUGACGGCGACCGGCCCCCUACAUGGCGGCCUCCUGCGUGGCUUUGCUGCCGACGUCCGUGUCUCUCUGCCGCUGCUGCUCCUGGUUGCGUAAAGGCAGCGCGGAGGCGCGGCCCGGCACGUGAUGGUCGUGGUCCUGGGCGACGUGGGCCGCAGCCCCUGCAUGCAUCACCACGCGCUGUCGUUGGUCAAGUGCGGCUUUUCCGUGACCCUGGCUGGGGUCUGCAACUCCAAACACCACGAAGAGCUAUUGCAGAGUGACAGAAUUCAGAUUGUGAGUUUGCCAGAACUUCAGAGACUUGCAGGCGGUGCACUUUCUGUGAAAGUUGAUGUGCUGGGAGCCAGAAGCCUACAUCUUUUUCCAGCCUCUCUUUCUCAGAACCCACCGGACUUGCCUGCCAUUGCCAUCUGCUGGUUUGUGGGCUGCCUCUGCUGGAGCAAGCUUGUCACUGACUGGCACAGCUAUGGCUACUCCAUUAUGGGUCUGGGGCAUGGCCCCCGCCACUGCCUUGUGCUGCUGGCCAAGUGGUAUGAGAAGAUCUGUGGAUGCCUGUCCCACCUGAACUUGUGUGUGACCAACGUGAUGCGGGAAGAUCUGGCAGAGAGCUGGGGUAUCAGAGCUGUGACCAUCUAUGACGAGCCAGCAUCUUUCUUUAAAGAGAUGCCCUUGGACCUGCUACACCAGCUCUUCAUGAAGCUGGGCUGAACCUACUCUGUAUUCAGAGCCUGAAGAUGAAGACUUCUCCAUCUUGCUGGCUGCAUUAGAAAGUAGGUGUGUGGCCGUGAUCAAGAGCUGGGCUAGUCAGGGGCUGAUGAGCUGUGAGGUGCUUGCACAGCCUUGCAUGGCAUCCUCUGCAGCAUGUUCCUACCCCGAGAACACUGGGUGGGCCAGCCUGAGGACAUGGGAGGUGGAGGUGGCAGCUGCAUUCCCAUUUGGGUCACUGGGUGGCCAGCCCUAGAUCUGAAGGACUGCCUCCGGGAGAGUGAACCUGUGAUUAGGAGUGGUGUCCCUCCUCAGCUCUGCUGCCCCCUCCCCGAGUCUGAAUAGAUGAUCCUGGUUAUCCUUUAUUGUUUUAAACAUUUUAAACACAGAGUUUGAACAGCUGAUCCUGGAUGGGGAAAGCCUUCCUUCUCUGGUCUGUGUGAUAACAGGUACCACCUGUUACGGGACCAUCCAUGUUCCGUAUUAAAUGGGGUUAGUGAAGUGGGUAGAAGGCACCUGCCUUUAUUGUGAGGACUGCCUUCCCCACGUCAGGCACAUGAUGUUCCUUGUCUCGUUAUUCCUCACCACCACUCUGAUGUAGGGUUUUCUACACCAGCUUGACAGAGAGAGAAACUGAGGCUCAGAGGGGCCUCAUGCAGGGCAUGGAGUCUAGUUGAAUCUCUUAGAGCAUGAUCUCAGACAUCCUGGGGCUUUCCAGUUCUGCAGUGAUUCCCAGGCAAAGGUCCUCUGAAGGAGUAUUACAGCCGUCUUAUUGACCAAAAUCAUUUCCAGCACAUCCAGGUCUGUACACCAUGGCUGGAGGCUGAGGACUACUCCCUGCUUCCAGGGUCGGUGGACCUGGGUGUGUGCCUGCACAAACCCUCCAGCAGCCUGGACCUGCCCAUGAAGGUGGUGGACAUGUUCAGGUGCUGCCUGCCUGUGUGUGCCCUGGACUUCCAGUGGUAGGAGCAGAACCGAAUC